rnacentral:rRNA from 1 species
UCGACGGUGAGGGGUGAAAGCGUGGGUAGCAAACAGGAUUAGAUACCCUGGUAGUCCACGCCGUAAACGAUGAUAACUAGCCGUUGGGGGGAUUUACCCUUUAGUGGCGAAGCUAACGCGUUAAGUUAUCCGCCUGGGGAGUACGGCCGCAAGGUUAAAACUCAAAGGAAUUGACGGGGACCCGCACAAGCGGUGGAGCAUGUGGUUUAAUUCGAUGCAACGCGAAGAACCUUACCUGGUCUUGACAUCCUGCGAACUUUCUAGAAAUAGAUUGGUGCCUUCGGGAACGCAGUGACAGGUGCUGCAUGGCUGUCGUCAGCUCGUGUCGUGAGAUGUUGGGUUAAGUCCCGUAACGAGCGCAACCCCUAUCCUUAUUUGCCAGCACAUCAUGGUGGGAACUAUAAGGAGACUGCCGGUGAUAAACCGGAGGAAGGCGGGGACGACGUCAAGUCAUCAUGGCCCUUACGACCAGGGCUACACACGUGCUACAAUGGGAAGGACAAAGAGCCGCGAAGCCGCGAGGUGUAGCUAAUCUCAUAAACCUUUUCGUAGUCCGGAUUGGAGUCUGCAACUCGACUCCAUGAAGUCGGAAUCGCUAGUAAUCGUAGAUCAGAAUGCUACGGUGAAUACGUUCCCGGGUCUUGCACACACCGCCCGU